GGUCUCUGUAAUAACUUCACACAACCUAUCCCAUCUGUCCUUUUAUUUCCAUCCCGUGUUCUAGUUCAGGCCCUCGUUAUUUCAUGUUUUUUUUUCUUUUUUUGCAGAAAAUUCCUAUAUGAACUCGAUAACUGGAUUUUUUGUUUCACUAAAGUAUCUCAUAAAUAAUGGUUCCAAAGAAAUGUUUUAAAUAGCAGAUUUAAUCAGGCAGGUGGACUGGAGUAAACCUGGAACCCAAAAUUAGGAUACGUAUGUUUAUUGUGGCACUAUUCACAAUAGCAAAGAUUUGGAACCAACCCAAAUGUCCAACAAUGAUAGACUGGAUUAAGAAAAUGUGGCACAUAUACAGCAUGGAAUACUAUGCAGCCAUAAAAAAUGAUGAGUUCAUGUCCUUUGUAGGGACAUGGAUGAAGCUGUUUUUAAACUAUUUCUUGUACUUUCAAGCUGUUUUACCUUUUCAUCUUAUUUAUCUUUUUUGAAAAUCUGUUUCCUCAAUUUUACAAUCUUAUUCUCUGACUUAUUGCAAGGUUUAAGCAAGGUUAUGCAUAUUACAUUUUAGCAUGAUGCCUGAUAGUAAACAAACAUUUUAAGAUCGCUGUUUAAUGUUUCUCCCCCAAGCAAAACCAUAAAUAGCUUCCCAUCACCAAGAGAAUAAAUUCCAAAAGUUUACCAAUGGCAUUCAAAUCAUGCCACAAACUGGAACCAACAUGUUCAUUCAGUGAACUUGCCCCUAAUGUAUUCAGUCCUUUAGAAAGUUGGACAUUGUUUCUGUACAUGCCUUGCAUUCUCAUCCCUUUAUGUCAUUUUUUGCAGAUUCUGUUAUGUGGAAUGCCUUUAUACAUCUUUGUCUACUGGUUGGGAUGCUGCUCAUUUCCCUUUUCCUGAAAGCUUUCCAGACACUCAAGGUGCCAUAAGGCAAAAUAUAAUAGUUUAUAUUUCUGUGUCCUCAAACAUCGUAAACAGUCAAUGUGUCGGAUGAACUUUUCUCCAAUUCAUUAUAACCAGACAAUAGGUUCUUUGAAGGCUAUGACCAAAUCGUGAGCCCAUUUUCCUUCCUUAACAUACUGCACCCAAAUGAGCAGAACCUAGUGGAGAUCUUGCGGCUUAGAGCUUGCUGAAUUUGGUAAAGACAAAAAUUCUUGUGUUAUGUGUGGUGGUUGCAUGUGCAUGUGUGUUAGUGUAGGUGCUGUGUGUGUGUGUGUGUGUGUGUGUGUGUGUUUGCAUGGGGCAAUAUGGAGAUAGUGAUGGAGUACAAGAAGGAGCUUGACUUUCAUGAGCUCCUGAGAAAACUCAUCUAUCCAUCAAUCCCCCAUGCAAUUACUAAGUGCUUAAUCCAUGCCAGGCACUGUUAGAAGGCACCAGGAAGACAAAGUUCCUGCCAUCGACACUUACAUACUAGAGGAGGAAAUAGGAAAUAAACAGGUAAGGAAAUACAUGCAAAGUAUGAUAUUAGGAUGUGAUAAGCAUUAUCAAGUGAGUAAAAUGGAGAAAAGGAAUAGAAAGUGACAGGGGUUGCAAUUUUGGAAUAGAUGAUUAGAGAAGUCCUACCAGCAAAGUGACAUUUGUUGAGCAGGAACAUAAAAGAGGUGAGGUAUUAAGCUAGGUACGUAUCUAAAAAAAAAUGUAUUUCCAGGCAGAGGAAACAGUAAUGGCAAAGGUUUUAGAGAAAAAAAAAAGUAUAACCCAGGUUAACCUCUCUUGCAGAACUAGUUUAGCCUGUCCCUUUUACUGGUGAAAUCACUGUUAAUGUUUCUGUAGUAAAGGUAGUGUUUUAAAUGAUUUAUAUAAUACAAUAAAAUUUGUAAUCUCAUUCAAGCUCCUUUCUUCAUCUUUAAAAUGAAGUUAAACUCGGGAAAAAAGGAUUGUUCUAGCUCUGAAUUGCUGCACUACUGUGACUUAAGUGCUCCUCUGCUCUCCUAGCAGCACUUUUAUCUUACGAAUUUAUAUUUAUAUAUAUAUGAUUAGAACAUUAUAAAGUAGAAAAAAUUAUGGUUGUUAUUUUUAUUAGUAGUAGUAUUUUGUCUGUAUUUUGUGAUUUCUGAAGCUGUGGCUACCUGGUUCUUUCUGUUUCAAUUAUGACUUUAAUUGUGAGGCAACACUGUAAAGCACUCAAAUAUCAGUGGUCAGGAAUGUGCUGCAAGCAGAUCCUCUCUCUCUUAUUAAUUCCAGAACACCAAAUGUCUUAGUCCAUUUUGCCUUACCAUAAAGGAAUACCUAAGGCUGGUAAUUUAUAAAUAAAAGAGGUAUAUUUGGCUUAUGCUUCCACAGCCUGUACAAGAAACAUGGUGCCAGCAUCUGCUUCUGGUGAGGACUGCAGGAAGCUUCCAAUCAUGGUCCAAAAAAUGCGGAGCCUGCGUGUCACGUGAUAAGAGAUGGAGCGUGAGAAAGAGGCAGGAGGAGAAAGUGACCCCCACCUUUACAAGUGUCUGUAAUUCUCACUAGCAGUAUAUUAGAGGGCAAAAGAUUUGAACAGACACAUCAGAAAAGAAGACAUACAAAUGGCCGCUAAGCACUUGAAAGGAUUCUGAACACCAUUAGUCAUCAGUGAAAUGCAAAUUAAAGCCAUAAUGAAUGGCGCUAUACAUUUUCAGAAUGGCAAGGAUUGAAGACCGAAAAAAAUCAAGCGUUGAGGAGAGUGACAAAUGGGGAGACAGCCGUGGUGCAUGAUCGCCGAAUAAAUACCAUGUGAGGAUACAGCAAGAAGGUGGCCAUCUACAAGCCAAGGAGACAGGCCUCAGAAGAAACCAACCCUUCUUACACCCUGGACUCAGACUUCUAAUCUCCAGAACUUGUUAAUGCACAAGGUCUUGUGUUGAAAAUGUAGAGCCACGAGAUAAAAGCAGCUUGGAUGGCUGACUCAUAUACAAGGACAACUGCCUGAGAGUCACCAGGGCUAUCAAGAAGUUUGCAGAAACAAGAAAUAAACUUUUACUGU
rnacentral:lncRNA from 1 species